rnacentral:rRNA from 1 species
GGGAAACUUACCAAGGCCAAACAGAGGUGGGAUUGACAGAUUGAGAGCUCUUUCUUGAUUCUUUGGGUGGUGGUGCAUGGCCGUUCUUAGUUGGUUGAGUGAUUUGUCUUGUUAAUUCCGAUAACAAACGAGACUAUCUCCUGUUAAAUAGUGUCUGCUUCUCUUUUGAGAAGAUAAUUCUUCUUAAAGGGACUGGCAACUCUUAGUCGCACAAGAUUGAGCAAUAA